UCGUCAGUGCGGUAUAUCCUGACCUGCCCCGCUCCGGCGGGCAGCAUGUGAUGAGCGGAGCGUGAUGACGCGUGAUUAGAGUCGCGCGGCGCGGGCGCUGCAACCGCCCGCGCCUCCCUCUGAC
ensembl:snoRNA U8 U8 small nucleolar RNA